rnacentral:tRNA from 1 species
GCUCUUAUGGUGUAAUGGUUAGCACUCUGGACUUUGAAUCCAGCGAUCCGGGUUCAAAUCAACGGUAGAAGCU